UAUCGCUGCCCUCCUUGGGCGUUUCCUCCCUAGACUUGGGCCGCUUGUUUCAAGCGGCCCUUUUUUCUUGCCCAG
rnacentral:sRNA from 1 species